UACGUAGGGGGCGAGCGUUGUCCGGAAUUAUUGGGCGUAAAGAGCUCGUAGGCGGCUUGUCACGUCGGGUGUGAAAGCCCGGGGCUUAACCCCGGGUCUGCAUUCGAUACGGGCUAGCUAGAGUGUGGUAGGGGAGAUCGGAAUUCCUGGUGUAGCGGUGAAAUGCGCAGAUAUCAGGAGGAACACCGGUGGCGAAGGCGGAUCUCUGGGCCGUAACUGACGCUGAGGAGCGAAAGCAUGGGGAGCGAACAGG
rnacentral:rRNA from 1 species